rnacentral:lncRNA from 1 species
UGUUGAUCUUUCAGGUCUUUGCCUUAAUAGUUGCUGUUUGCACAGAGUUCGGCUACCAGGAAUGUUUACUGAGCAUUUGUUGGCCAGCUGUCCAACCCCUUCCAUCCUGCCCCUCUAAAGAGGGUUUCAUCAGAUCCCAUUAAAACCCAGGAGCUUAUUUUAAGACUGUAGACCCUACGAGGCCUCUGGAGUAUUUGUGCUUCUUAUCCUCGUGCAUCAUUUUUUCCACAUUCGCUGCAAUACUCCUUGUUAAGCUUCUAAAAGGCUUUCAGAUGAACCAUAUGGAGAACUAUAUAGGACACGGGUGCCAAGGAGGCGAAAGAAAACAUCCCAAGAAAAGGCAAAAAGUUUAGCAACUCACCAGCAGUGAUGUUUUUGUGGCCUCCUCUACUACUCCAUUUUCCUCUGGAAUAAGGAGUGGUAACUGUAAGGGGAAGAGAAUACUGAACUGGGCAGACCCUGCGUUUCCAUUCUAUAAGGUAAAGAAACCCAGAGCGAAUAACCCUUCUUAAAAAAAUGCUGUCUACCACCACCUAGUGGAA